rnacentral:misc_RNA from 1 species
GCGCUUAAAACACAGAGGGAGUGGAAAUUUAUAACAAUGACUCCGGAAUAAUGAUGCAGAAGCCGGCCGUUAACGAACUCCAAAAAAAGAGAUAGAAACAGAGGGGAGUCAAUCCAGAUUCCAUUUUUUAACCGAUUUUCAGGGUUGGUAGAGCCGGGUUGCAUAGGGAUUGACUGGACAAUUUGAGGGUGUCGAACCUGGGAACUCCGUGCUAUGCGAAUCGAAGUGAUUGAAGCCAAUGAAAUAACCUUAGAUUGAUUUGGGGGAGCGACUGUUUGUCACAUCCACAAUAUCAUCGAUGU